rnacentral:rRNA from 1 species
CAGUCGACGGCAGCGCGGGGCAACCUGGCGGCGAGUGGCGAACGGGUGAGUAAUAUAUCGGAACGUGCCCUGGAGUGGGGGAUAACGCAGCGAAAGUUGCGCUAAUACCGCAUACGAUCUAAGGAUGAAAGCAGGGGACCGCAAGGCCUUGUGCUCCUGGAGCGGCCGAUAUCUGAUUAGCUAGUUGGUGGGGUAAAGGCCUACCAAGGCAUCGAUCAGUAGCUGGUCUGAGAGGACGACCAGCCACACUGGAACUGAGACACGGUCCAGACUCCUACGGGAGGCAGCAGUGGGGAAUUUUGGACAAUGGGGGCAACCCUGAUCCAGCAAUGCCGCGUGAGUGAAGAAGGCCUUCGGGUUGUAAAGCUCUUUUGUCAGGGAAGAAACGGUGUGGGCUAAUAUCCUGCACUAAUGACGGUACCUGAAGAAUAAGCACCGGCUAACUACGUGCCAGCAGCCGCGGUAAUACGUAGGGUGCAAGCGUUAAUCGGAAUUACUGGGCGUAAAGCGUGCGCAGGCGGUUUUGUAAGUCUGUCGUGAAAUCCCCGGGCUCAACCUGGGAAUUGCGAUGGAGACUGCAAGGCUAGAAUCUGGCAGAGGGGGGUAGAAUUCCACGUGUAGCAGUGAAAUGCGUAGAGAUGUGGAGGAACACCGAUGGCGAAGGCAGCCCCCUGGGUCAAGAUUGACGCUCAUGCACGAAAGCGUGGGG